rnacentral:rRNA from 1 species
CGGCGGACGGGUGAGUAAUGUAUGGGGAUCUGCCUGAUGGCGGGGGAUAACUACUGGAAACGGUAGCUAAUACCGCAUAACGUCGCAAGACCAAAGAGGGGGACCUUCGGGCCUCUUGCCAUCGGAUGAACCCAUAUGGGAUUAGCUAGUAGGUAAGGUAACGGCUUACCUAGGCGACGAUCCCUAGCUGGUCUGAGAGGAUGACCAGCCACACUGGAACUGAGACACGGUCCAG